rnacentral:rRNA from 1 species
AUUGAACGCUGGCGGCAGGCCUAACACAUGCAAGUCGAACGGUAGCACAGAGAGCUUGCUCUCGGGUGACGAGUGGCGGACGGGUGAGUAACGUCUGGGAAACUGCCCAAUGGAGGGGGAUAACUACUGGAAACGGUAGCUAAUACCGCAUAACGUCGCAAGACCAAAGUGGGGGACCUUCGGGCCUCACACCAUCGGAUGUGCCCAGAUGGGAUUAGCUAGUAGGUGGGGUAAUGGCUCACCUAGGCGACGAUCCCUAGCUGGUCUGAGAGGAUGACCAGCCACACUGGAACUGAGACACGGUCCAGACUCCUACGGGAGGCAGCAGGGGGGAAUAUUGCACAAUGGGCGCAAGCCUGAUGCAGCCAUGCCGCGUGUAUGAAGAAGGCCUUCGGGUUGUAAAGUACUUUCAGCGGGGAGGAAGGCGGUGAAGUUAAUAGCUUAACCGAUUGACGUUACCCGCAGAAGAAGCACCGGCUAACUCCGUGCCAGCAGCCGCCGUAA